rnacentral:rRNA from 1 species
GACGAACGCUGGCGGCGUGCUUAACACAUGCAAGUCGAACGGAAAGGCCCUGCUUGCAGGGUACUCGAGUGGCGAACGGGUGAGUAACACGUGGGUGAUCUGCCCUGCACUUCGGGAUAAGCUUGGGAAACUGGGUCUAAUACCGGAAAGGAGCCAUCUUUAGUGUGGUGGUUGGAAAGUUUUUUCGGUGUAGGAUGAGCUCGCGGCCUAUCAGCUUGUUGGUGGGGUAAUGGCCUACCAAGGCGGCGACGGGUAGCCGGCCUGAGAGGGUGUACGGCCACAUUGGGACUGAGAUACGGCCCAGACUCCUACGGGAGGCAGCAGUGGGGAAUAUUGCACAAUGGGCGCAAGCCUGAUGCAGCGACGCCGCGUGGGGGAUGAAGGCCUUCGGGUUGUAAACUCCUUUCGCUAGGGACGAAGCUUUGUUGUGACGGUACCUAGAUAAGAAGCACCGGCUAACUACGUG